GACGAACGCUGGCGGCGUGCCUAACACAUGCAAGUCGAGCGAAGUAUAUCUGAGGGAAAUUUUCGGAUGGAACUUAGAUAUAUCUUAGCGGCGGACGGGUGAGUAACGCGUGAGCAACCUGCCUUUCACAAAGGGAUAGCCUCGGGAAACUGGGAUUAAUACCAUAUAAAACUUGUCUUUCGCAUGAAAGAAAAGUCAAAGCGAAUAAGCGGUGAAAGAUGGGCUCGCGUCCUAUUAGCUAGUUGGUGAGGUAACGGCUCACCAAGGCGACGAUAGGUAGCCGGCCUGAGAGGGUGAACGGCCACACUGGAACUGAGACACGGCCCAGACUCCUACGGGAGGGCAGCAGUAAGGGAAUAUUGGUCAAUGCCCGGAAGGGUGAACCAGCCAUCCCGCGUGAAGGAUGAAGGGGCUCUGCCUUGUAAACUUCUUUUGUAUGGGGCGAAAAAAGGGGAUUUAUCCUCGACUGACGGUACCAUAAGAAUAAGCACCGGCUAACUCCGUG
rnacentral:rRNA from 1 species